CUUUCAAAAAACACAGUUUCCCGAUAUAAUGAGGACGUCAGCUUUUGUUGACUAUGACGAUAAACAUAUUGCGAAAUAAGCAGGGCGGACCCGGGGGCGGUACCCGGCGCCUCCACCAUUACAGUUUUAUGUAUCUGGCCAGCAGAUUAACCCCUCUGAAAAGAUACAGCUUUUGGGGGCGAAACAGGAUCGACGCAUGUGGUAAAGGCCUUAUCUUCGUUCGGUAUGGUACCCGCCGUUAUCGGGCCAUGUAGUAGUUGCAAACGACAACACUGCUCCGGUUGCUGUUGCUGCGUAACGCGGUAACAAAAACCAUUUUUAAAGCCCUGUUCGAUUGAGCUCGGACAGGCGGGGUUCGGGAUCGCACCUGGCAACAGAAGCG
rnacentral:tmRNA from 1 species